rnacentral:ncRNA from 1 species
UAAGCGGAAUCCGAAAAGCUUCAAAAGAGUAGGAA